GACGAACGCUGGCGGCGCGCCUAACACAUGCAAGUCGAACGAGCGAGAGAGAGCUUGCUUUCUCGAGCGAGUGGCGAACGGGUGAGUAACGCGUGAGGAACCUGCCUCAAAGAGGGGGACAACAGUUGGAAACGACUGCUAAUACCGCAUAAGCCCACGGGUCGGCAUCGACCAGAGGGAAAAGGAGCAAUCCGCUUUGAGAUGGCCUCGCGUCCGAUUAGCUAGUUGGUGAGGUAAUGGCCCACCAAGGCGACGAUCGGUAGCCGGACUGAGAGGUUGAACGGCCACAUUGGGACUGAGACACGGCCCAGACUCCUACGGGAAGCAGCAGUGGGGAAUAUUGCACAAUGGGGGAAACCCUGAUGCAGCGACGCCGCGUGGAGGAAGAAGGUCUUCGGAUUGUAAACUCCUGUUGUUGGGGAAGAUAAUGACGGUACCCAACAAGGAAGUGACGGCUAACUACGUG
rnacentral:rRNA from 1 species